CUUCUUAUUGAUUGUUCUUGCUUUUUCACACGGCUCCUUAAGGUGGUGAAUUUGUAACCGAAAGGCCCAGGUGAGAUGUGCAAAUAUCACUGGAUUGGAGGAGCUCACUUGGAAAGCCAGUAUUCCUCCUGAGCUAAUGAAAAGAAAGGCUGUCGUCUUAUGCCAAAAGCAAUACCAACCUUGUUCACGGGCUGAGAUCUAGAGUGUGUAAUUCACGAAGUAUGAAUCUGCUGGGUAAUGUGAUAUGAAAAGCGAAUGCACCAUUUCUUGGUGAUGAUUCAGGUCAGCGUUGGGACCCAGGAAUCUCCUGUUAAUCAGUACCCUGGUGAUUUUGAUCCAGAGACGGGGUCUAUUAUCUGGUCCUGUUGUCAAGGCUGGUCUCAAACUCCUGGCCUCCAGCGAUCCUCCCUUUUUGGCCUCCCAAGAUGCUGGUAUUACAGGCAUGAGCCACCAUGGUCCACCCGGACUCCUUUUCAUAGGAGACAGUUCCCUAGGCAGAGACUGGGCUUGAAACAGUUCCUCUAAAGAAGAGGGUAGAGACUAGAACUGAAUGAGAUGGACAUAGAGAUGGCCAAGAAAAGCAUCGUCCUCUGCCAAGUCAUGGGGUCAUGUGUGGUGGAUGGUGACAUGGUGUCCUCAGCUCAGAGUCCAGCUGGGGGCUCAGAAGCAAGGUAACUGAAGGGAGAGAAUUAUUUGAGCACCUAGUGUGUGUAAGAUGCUUCACAUUUAUUAUUUCACCUAACCUCUACACAACCUGUUGUGGGUAUUACUGGUCUCAAGCUGGGAUUCAAAGCAGGUUUUUCCAACCUCAGAAUUCUUGCCAGACUGAUUAGCCUUCUGCAUCUGGAACAUAAAUGUUUUCAGGCAGCAUAAUGUGCAAGAGGUCAGAGCCUAAAGCUUUGUUAUUUUUUAAUUUCUCCACCAUGUCAACUCUGUUACAGGGAAGCCCAGCAGAGGGAAUUG
rnacentral:lncRNA from 10 species